rnacentral:lncRNA from 1 species
AAUGAGAAUGUGUUUCCUUCAACUAAUCAAAAUUGUUUCACUACAACUAUUUGAAGGGAACCAACUAUGAUUCCAAUGGAACAUAUUAAACACUAGUUGAUUCUAAUACGAUUUUUCAAAUUAUGGAACACUAUUCCAAUGAGAUUGUGCUCCCCUUCAACUAAUCAAAAUUGUUUCACUGCAACUAUUUGAAGGGAACCAACUAUGAUUCCAAUGGAACAUAUUAAACACUAGUUGAUUCUAAUACGAUUUUUCAGAUUAUGGAACACUAUUCCAAUUAGAUUGUGCUCCCCUUCAACUAAUCAAAAUUGUUUCACUACAACUAUUU